UCUCCGUUGGUGAACCAGCGGAGGGAUCAUUACUGGAAUCGCAAGAUCCCACCACCCUGUGAACCUACCGAAACGUUGCCUCGGCGGGUGCCCGGCCCCCGCGCCGGGCGCUGCGCCCGCCGGCGGCCCCCUACUCUGUCUCUGCAGCGUGGCAUCUCAGCGUCCCAGAAAACAAGUCAAAACUUUCAACAACGGAUCUCUUGGCUCUA
rnacentral:misc_RNA from 1 species